GCUNNUACGCUGUGNGNCGUGCUUAACACAUGCAAGUCGAACGAUGAAGCCCUUCGGGGUGGAUUAGUGGCGAACGGGUGAGUAACACGUGGGCAAUCUGCCCUUCACUCUGGGACAAGCCCUGGAAACGGGGUCUAAUACCGGAUACGACACACGACCGCAUGGUCUGUGUGUGGAAAGCUCCGGCGGUGAAGGAUGAGCCCGCGGCCUAUCAGCUUGUUGGUGGGGUGAUGGCCUACCAAGGCGACGACGGGUAGCCGGCCUGAGAGGGCGACCGGCCACACUGGGACUGAGACACGGCCCAGACUCCUACGGGAGGCAGCAGUGGGGAAUAUUGCACAAUGGGCGAAAGCCUGAUGCAGCGACGCCGCGUGAGGGAUGACGGCCUUCGGGUUGUAAACCUCUUUCAGCAGGGAAGAAGCGAAAGUGACGGUACCUGCAGAAGAAGCGCCGGCUAACUACGUGCCAGCAGCCGCGGUAAUACGUAGGGCGCAAGCGUUGUCCGGAAUUAUUGGGCGUAAAGAGCUCGUAGGCGGCUUGUCACGUCGGAUGUGAAAGCCCGGGGCUUAACCCCGGGUCUGCAUUCGAUACGGGCAGGCUAGAGUUCGGUAGGGGAGAUCGGAAUUCCUGGUGUAGCGGUGAAAUGCGCAGAUAUCAGGAGGAACACCGGUGGCGAAGGCNGGAUCUCUGGGCCGAUACUGACGCUGAGGAGCGAAAGCGUGGGGAGCGAACAGGAUUAGAUACCCUGGUAGUCCACGCCGUAAACGUUGGGAACUAGGUGUGGGGCGACAUUCCANGUCGUCCGUGCCCGCANCUAACGCAUUAANUUNCCCNNCCUGGGGGAAUCCGGCCCCNAGGCUNAAACUCAAAGGAAUUGACGGGGGNCCCNCACAAACACCGGAACAUNUGGNUUANUUCNACNC
rnacentral:rRNA from 1 species